rnacentral:sRNA from 1 species
UACAAUAGAUAUGGCUCCUCAAGGGUGGUCGGCUCACCUCUCAUCCCACGCGGGAAGGGGGUGAGAACAUGACAGUGUACGAGGCAAUCAGCCUGAUGAUCUCUUUCGGAUUGUUGAUUGUCGCAUUGCUGUCGUUCCCAAAGAAAAAGUAGAUCACCCUUGAGUUUGGCAACCGGUGAUCUACUCCACUGUAAACAAUGAGCCGCCCCCCUUGUGGGGAACGUCUAUUGUACAGACCGUAGGUGUAGCAGCACCUGCG